CCUACGGGUGGCAGCAGUGGGGGAUAUUGCACAAUGGGGGGAACCCUGAUGCAGCGACGCCGCGUGGGUGAAGGAGUGCUACGGCAUGUAAAGCCCUAUCGGCAGGGAAGAAGCAAGACGGUACCGGCCUAAGAAGCGCCGGCUAACUACGAGCCAGCAGCCGCGGGAAUACGUAGGGGGCGAGCGUUAUCCGGAUUCACUGGGUGUAAAGGGAGGGUAGACGGCCAAUCAAGCCAUGGGUGAAAGCCCGGGGCCCAACCCCGGGACUGCCCUUGAAACUGCAUGGCUGGAGUGCGAGAGGGGCAGGCGGAAUUCCUGGUGUAGCGGUGAAAUGCGUAGAUAUCAGGAGGAACCCCGGCGGCGAAGGCGGCCUGCUGGACCGCGACUGACGUUGAGGCUCGAAAGCGUGGGGAGCGAACAGGAUUAGAUACCCUUGUAGUC
rnacentral:rRNA from 1 species